UGUUGAAAUUGAUUGGGCAGCUCUGAGUCAGCUGGCCGAAUCAGAGUGUUAAUUAGUAAUGUUUUUCUAUGUAAUUUGUGGUUUAUGAUAAUGGUGUCUAGUUUGUUGCAAAGAUUCUGCAAUGAAAUUUUAGGCAUUUGCAGAGGUCUUGUGUUAAGGUGAAAAGUUUAGGGGUCAGUCCAUGAAAGAAGAGUCUCAAGAAUAUGUAGUUUGUCUGUAAUGGGUUGUUGUAUUCCAUUGUGGUCUG
rnacentral:misc_RNA from 1 species